rnacentral:misc_RNA from 1 species
CAAGAAGCGCCGAAAGGCCGCUUUAAACCAUCGCGAACACAUCCGUCAGCGUUGCUUCGGCGGGACAGGACGCCCCGGGAGACCGGGGCGGCCGCGCCGGCCCCACCGGGGCCGCAUCCCGCCGGAGGCACAAAACUCUAAUGCAACCUCUGUGGAAUCUCUGAGUAAGCAAGCAAAUAAGUCA